rnacentral:rRNA from 1 species
AGUGAACGCUGGCGGUAGGCCUAACACAUGCAAGUCGAACGGCAGCACAGUAAGAGCUUGCUCUUACGGGUGGCGAGUGGCGGACGGGUAAGAAUUCAAUCGGAUCCUACUUUUCCUUGGGGAUUACCGAGGGGAACCUACCCCUAUUACCCAUUAGACCUAACGGUGAAAAGCGGGGAUCUUUGGACCUUUCGCGGUUUAAUUGAGCCGUUGUCGGAUUAGCUAGUUGGCGGGGUAAGGGCCCACCAAGGCGACGAUCCGUAGCUGGUCUGAGAGGAUGAUCAGCCACACUGGAACUGAGACACGGUCCAGACUCCUACGGGAGGCAGCAGUGGGGAAUAUUGGACAAUGGGCGCAAGCCUGAUCCAGCCAUACCGCGUGGGUGAAGAAGGCCUUCGGGUUGUAAAGCCCUUUUGUUGGGAAAGAAAAGCAGCAGGUUAAUACCCCGCUGUUCUGACGGUACCCAAAGAAUAAGCACCGGCUAACUUCGUG